AGCGGCGGACGGGUGAGUAACGCGUGGGUAACCUGCCUCAUACAGGGGGAUAACAGUUAGAAAUGACUGCUAAUACCGCAUAAGACCACGGUACCGCAUGGUACAGUGGUAAAAGCUCCGGUGGUAUGAGAUGGACCCGCGUCUGAUUAGGUAGUUGGUGGGGUAACGGCCUACCAAGCCGACGAUCAGUAGCCAACCUGAGAGGGUGACCGGCCACAUUGGGACUGAGACACGGCCCAG
rnacentral:rRNA from 1 species